rnacentral:rRNA from 1 species
GAUGGGUGCGAUCAUACCAGCACUAA